rnacentral:rRNA from 1 species
AGAGUUUGAUCCUGGCUCAGGAUGAACGCUGGCGGUAUGCCUAACACAUGCAAGUCGAACGGUGUCUUCGGACACAGUGGCGGACGGGUGAGUAACGCGUGAGAAUCUGCCUCUAGGUUGGGGACAACAGUUGGAAACGACUGCUAAUACCCGACGUGCCGUAAGGUAAAAGAUUUAUUGCCUGGAGAGGAGCUCGCGUCUGAUUAGCUAGUUGGUGGGGUAAAAGCCUACCAAGGCAGCGAUCAGUAGCUGGUCUGAGAGGAUGAGCAGCCACACUGGGACUGAGACACGGCCCAGACUCCUACGGGAGGCAGCAGUGGGGAAUUUUCCGCAAUGGCGAAAGCCUGACGGAGCAAUACCGCGUGAGGGAGGAAGGCCUUUGGGUUGUAAACCUCUUUUCUCAGGGAAGAAGAUCUGACGGUACCUGAGGAAUAAGCAUCGGCUAACUCCGUGCCAGCAGCCGCGGUAAUACGGAGGAUGCAAGCGUUAUCCGGAAUCAUUGGGCGUAAAGCGUCCGCAGGUGGUUUUUCAAGUCUGCUGUUAAAGACUGGAGCUCAACUCCGGAAAGGCAGUGGAAACUGAGAAACUAGAGUUCGGUAGGGGUAGCGGGAAUUCCCAGUGUAGCGGUGAAAUGCGUAGAUAUUGGGAAGAACAUCGGUGGCGAAGGCGCGCUACUGGACCGAAACUGACACUCAGGGACGAAAGCUAGGGGAGCGAAAGGGAUUAGAUACCCCUGUAGUCCUAGCUGUAAACGAUGGAAACUAGGUGUGGCUUGUAUCGACCCGAGCCGUGCCGUAGCUAACGCGUUAAGUUUCCCGCCUGGGGAGUACGCACGCAAGUGUGAAACUCAAAGGAAUUGACGGGGGCCCGCACAAGCGGUGGAGUAUGUGGUUUAAUUCGAUGCAACGCGAAGAACCUUACCAGGGCUUGACAUGUCGCGAAUCUCCUUGAAAGGGGAGAGUGCCUUCGGGAGCGCGAACACAGGUGGUGCAUGGCUGUCGUCAGCUCGUGUCGUGAGAUGUUGGGUUAAGUCCCGCAACGAGCGCAACCCUCGUCUUUAGUUGCCAGCAUUAAGGUGGGCACUUUAGAGAGACUGCCGGUGACAAACCGGAGGAAGGUGGGGAUGACGUCAAGUCAGCAUGCCCCUUACGCCCUGGGCUACACGCGUACUACAAUGGUUGGGACAAAGGGCAGCGACCCCGCGAGGGAAAGCGAAUCUCAUCAAACCCAGCCUCAGUUCAGAUUGCAGGCUGCAACUCGCCUGCAUGAAGGAGGAAUCGCUAGUAAUCGCAGGUCAGCAUACUGCGGUGAAUUCGUUCCCGGGCCUUGUACACACCGCCCGUCACACCAUGGAAGCUGGUCACGCCCGAAGUAGUUACCCUAACCUUUCGGGGGGGGGGACUCCUAAGGCAGGGCUAGUGACUGGGGUGAAGUCGUAACAAGGUA